GGACCUGUAGCUCAGUUCGGACAGAGCGGCAGCCUUCUAAGCUGAAGGUCGUGGGUUCAAAUCCCAUCAGGUCCG
rnacentral:tRNA from 1 species